CAGCAGCCGCGGGAAUACGAAGGGUGCAAGCGUUACUCGGAAUUACUGGGCGUAAAGCGUGCGUAGGUGGUGGUUUAAGUCUGCUGUGAAAGCCCUGGGCUCAACCUGGGAAUUGCAGUGGAUACUGGAUCACUAGAGUGUGGUAGAGGGAUGCGGAAUUUCUGGUGUAGCAGUGAAAUGCGUAGAGAUCAGAAGGAACAUCCGUGGCGAAGGCGGCAUCCUGGGCCAACACUGACACUGAGGCACGAAAGCUAGGGGAGAAAAUGGGAUUAGAGACCCCCGUAGUCCCUGUCUCUUAUAC
rnacentral:rRNA from 1 species